rnacentral:rRNA from 1 species
AAGGAUCAUUACCGAGUGAGGGCCCUCUGGGUCCAACCUCCCACCCGUGUCUAUCGUACCUUGUUGCUUCGGCGGGCCCGCCGUUUCGACGGCCGCCGGGGAGGCCUUGCGCCCCCGGGCCCGCGCCCGCCGAAGACCCCAACACGAACGCUGUUCUGAAAGUCUGCAGUCUGAGUUGAUUAUCGUAAUCAGUUAAAACUUUCAACAACGGAUCUCUUGGUUCCGGCAUCGAUGAAGAACGCAGCGAAAUGCGAUAAGUAAUGUGAAUUGCAGAAUUCAGUGAAUCAUCGAGUCUUUGAACGCACAUCGCGCCCCCUGGUAUUCCGGGGGGCAUGCCUGUCCGAGCGUCAUUGCUGCCCUCAAGCACGGCUUGUGUGUUGGGCCCCCGUCCCCCUCUCCCGGGGGACGGGCCCGAAAGGCAGCGGCGGCACCGCGUCCGGUCCUCGAGCGUAUGGGGCUUUGUCACCUGCUCUGUAGGCCCGGCCGGCGCCAGCCGACACCCAACUUUAUUUUUCUAAGGUUGACCUCGGAUCAGGUAGGGAUACCCGCUGAACUUAAGCAUAUCAAUAAGCGGAGGAAAAGAAACCAACAGGGAUUGCCUCAGUAACGGCGAGUGAAGCGGCAAGAGCUCAAAUUUGAAAGCUGGCCCCUUCGGGGUCCGCGUUGUAAUUUGCAGAGGAUGCUUCGGGUGCAGCCCCCGUCUAAGUGCCCUGGAACGGGCCGUCAUAGAGGGUGAGAAUCCCGUCUGGGACGGGGUGUCUGCGUCCGUGUGAAGCUCCUUCGACGAGUCGAGUUGUUUGGGAAUGCAGCUCUAAAUGGGUGGUAAAUUUCAUCUAAAGCUAAAUACUGGCCGGAGACCGAUAGCGCACAAGUAGAGUGAUCGAAAGAUGAAAAGCACUCUGAAAAGAGAGUUAAACAGCACGUGAAAUUGUUGAAAGGGAAGCGUUUGCGACCAGACUCGCCCGCGGGGUUCAGCCGGCAUUCGUGCCGGUGUACUUCCCCGUGGGCGGGCCAGCGUCGGUUUGGGCGGCCGGUCAAAGGCCCUCGGAAUGUAUCACCUCUCGGGGUGUCUUAUAGCCGAGGGUGCAAUGCGGCCUGCCUGGACCGAGGAACGCGCUUCGGCUCGGACGCUGGCGUAAUGGUCGUAAAUGACC